GAUGAACGCUGGCGGCGUGCUUAAUACAUGCAAGUCGAACGGAGGUAUGUAGCAAUACGUGCCUUAGUGGCGAACGGGUGAGUAACACGUUGGUGACCUACCCCAGAGAGGGGGAUAACAGCUCGAAAGGGCUGCUAAUACCCCAUGCCGUCAUGGCGCUUAGAAAGCCAUGUCGAAAGGUGCAAACCGCUCUGGGAGGGGCCUGCGUCCCAUCAGCUAGUUGGUAGGGUAAUGGCCUACCAAGGCGACGAUGGUUAGCUGGUCUGAGAGGAUGAUCAGCCACACUGGAACUGAAACACGGUCCAGACUCCUACGGGAGGCUG
rnacentral:rRNA from 1 species